rnacentral:lncRNA from 1 species
AGAAAUAAGAGAAAUAAGAAAUAAGAUAAAUAAAAACAAUAAGAAAUAAGAAAUAAGACACCCGCAUAGUAGUAAACAUACACUAACAAACCAAAGACACCCACCACACCUAAACUCUCUGACUAGCUGCUCCUACCUAUGGACAAAGUCCUAGGAUUACUAACCCGGCUACACAAGAGCUCUCCUAACUACUUUCUACGACACACUCACACACCCUAGCCUUCUACCCUUAUCCGCGACCUCCACAUCUUCCUAUCUAGGAUCAUGUCCUAAGUAAGUUGUAACUGCUCCACACCUCCCUCUAGUAUUUCUUCGGCCUACCUCUACCCCUCCUAAAACCAUCCAAAGCUAGCCUCUCAUACCUAUGAACUGGGACAUCCGUGCCCCUCCUCAUCAUAUGUCCAAACCAUGUCAACCUCCCUUCCCGUAUCUUGUCUUUUACCGAAGUCACUCCCAC